GUUUCCUACGGGACGCAGCAGUGGGGAAUAUUGCGCAAUGGGCGAAAGCCUGACGCAGCGACGCCGCGUGAGGGAUGAAGGUGCCAAGCAUUGUAAACUUCUUUUGUCAAGGGACAAAAUCAGGCUCGAGAGCCUGACCGAGGGUACUUGAAGAAAAAGCAUCGGCUAACUCCGUGCCAGCAGCCGCGGUAAUACGGAGGAUGCGAGCGUUAUCCGGAUUUAUUGGGUUUAAAGGGUGCGUAGGCGGGCUGUUAAGUCAGCGGUAAAAGCCCGGGGCUCAACCCCGGCGAGCCGUUGAAACUGGC
rnacentral:rRNA from 1 species